UACGUAGGGUGCAAGCGUUAAUCGGAAUUACUGGGCGUAAAGCGUGCGCAGGCGGUUGUGCAAGACAGAUGUGAAAUCCCCGGGCUCAACCUGGGAACUGCAUUUGUGACUGCACAGCUAGAGUACGGUAGAGGGGGAUGGAAUUCCGCGUGUAGCAGUGAAAUGCGUAGAUAUGCAAAGGAACACCGAUGGCGAAGGCAAUCCCCUGGACCUGUACUGACGCUCAUGCACGAAAGCGUGGGGAGCAAACAGG
rnacentral:rRNA from 1 species